UUGACCUCGGAUCAGGUAGGGAUACCCGCUGAACUUAAGCAUAUCAAUAAGCGGAGGAAAAGAAACCAACAGGGAUUGCCCCAGUAACGGCGAGUGAAGCGGCAAGAGCUCAAAUUUGAAAGCUGGCUCCUUCGGGGUCCGCAUUGUAAUUUGCAGAGGAUGUUUCGGGAGCGGCUCCCAUCUAAGUGUCCUGGAACGGACCGUCAUAGAGGGUGAGAAUCCCGUAUGGGAUGGGGUGUCCGCGCCCGUGUGAAACUCCUUCGACGAGUCGAGUUGUUUGGGAAUGCAGCUCUAAAUGGGUGGUAAAUUUCAUCUAAAGCUAAAUAUUGGCCGGAGACCGAUAGCGCACAAGUAGAGUGAUCGAAAGAUGAAAAGCACUUUGAAAAGAGAGUUAAAAAGCACGUGAAAUUGUUGAAAGGGAAGCGUUUGCGAUCAGACUCGCCUUCGGGGUUCAGCCUGCCUUCGGGCAGGUGUACUUCCCCGUCGGCGGGCCAGCGUCGGUUUGGGUGGCCGGUCAAAGGCCCUGGGAAUGUAACGCCUCUCGGGGCGUCUUAUAGCCCAGGGUGUCAUGCGGCCUACCCGGACCGAGGAACGCGCUUCGGCUCGGACGCUGGCAUAAUGGUCGUAAACGACCCGUCUUGAAACACGGACCAAGGAGUCUAACAUCUAUGCGAGUGUUCGGGUGUCAAACCCGUGCGCGAAGUGAAAGCGAACGGAGGUGGGAACCCUUUGGGUGCACCAUCGACCGAUCCUGAUGUCUUCGGAUGGAUUUGAGUAAGAGCAUAGCUGUUGGGACCCGAAAGAUGGUGAACUAUGCCUGAAUAGGGCGAAGCCAGAGGAAACUCUGGUGGAGGCUCGCAGCGGUUCUGACGUGCAAAUCGAUCGUCAAAUUUGGGUAUAGGGGCGAAAGACUAAUCGA
rnacentral:rRNA from 1 species